GACGAACGCUGGCGGCGUGCUUAACACAUGCAAGUCGAGCGGAAAGGCCCUUCGGGGUACUCGAGCGGCGAACGGGUGAGUAACACGUGAGUAACCUGCCCUGGACUUUGGGAUAACCCUCGGAAACGGGGGCUAAUACCGAAUACGACACGGGAUCGCAUGAUCUUCGUGUGGAAAGUUUUUUCGGUCUGGGAUGGACUCGCGGCCUAUCAGCUUGUUGGUGGGGUAAUGGCCUACCAAGGCGACGACGGGUAGCCGGCCUGAGAGGGCGACCGGCCACACUGGGACUGAGACACGGCCCAGACUCCUACGGGAGGCAGCAGUGGGGAAUAUUGCACAAUGGGCGGAAGCCUGAUGCAGCGACGCCGCGUGAGGGAUGACGGCCUUCGGGUUGUAAACCUCUUUCAGCAGGGACGAAGCGCAAGUGACGGUACCUGCAGAAGAAGCGCCGGCCAACUACGUGCCAGCAGCCGCCGUAAUAC
rnacentral:rRNA from 1 species